GGUUGAUCCAAAGGUAAUAAGUUAUCAAUUUAGUCAGUUACAGAUCAAACUCCUUGUUCUACUCAUUCUUCCCUUUUCACUACUGCACUUGACUAGUCUUAC
ensembl:misc_RNA Y_RNA Y RNA